CUUUUCUGUUGCUCACCUGCUGAAUUAUAGCACUUGCACCACUCGCCCACCUGGGGUCCAAGUGCAACAGAAAAACACUGCCACAACUACCGGAAGACACCUUGCCCUGGACAACCCCAAGAGCCAUCCAGCUUGUUAAGGACAACCAAGCAUCACCAAUAUGACCACCAGCAAGCCAAACCGAAUACCUAUGGCUAACUUACCGACCUCCCACACGAGCUACUCUGCACUGGACUGGACUUGCCCCCCCCAUGAUGGGAUGGGAUGUUGACUCCUACUAAACACGUUCCAACACUCUCUGGGAGUCCCCCAUCCACAAAUAAGGGGACUGACACUAUUAUACCACAAUGGACGCUCCCCGGGAGAAAACAGAAGAAGAGAGAGACCAGAAGUGCAAGUACAACCCAGGGGACCACAACCCCUCCAGACACAUCACCAGCUACAUACAGUACAUAGGAUAACACACACAGAGACAGGAGCCAAGCUCCACCUCAAAAGACACACUCGCACAAACAAGAACAUGUAGCUCCACACCACACACUGGAGACAACAUAGAGACACAGACAUCAGAGAGACUGGACACUUGUGCUCUGCCUAGCAAUGGUCGCAAUGUUAAAUCUGUGUAAAACUUAGGAUAAAGUCACUUGUCUAUGCUUUGAUGUAAAACCUGUAGGUGCUGAACCGACAGUGAAAAUACAAUGUGUAACCAAUUCUUAAUACUAAGAAUGUUAGCUACUAGAGAGGAAUAAAC